GACUCCAUAGCGCAGUGGUUAGCAUGUCUGCUUUAUACGCAUAAGGUCCUGGGUUCGCGCCCCAGGUGGAGCCA
rfam:Pteropus alecto contig12811, whole genome shotgun sequence.